AAGGGUAGAAUAUAGCCAAGGAUGACUUGCCGGGUAUGUCCAUGUAUGCUUCAUGGGAGGGUAUGCAUUACUGCUUUGAAUCCAUGCUGAUAUUUUCUGGCAAGUUAUUCUUGGUUAACAUCUUGUUCUUGU
rfam:Triticum urartu cultivar G1812 contig678601, whole genome shotgun sequence.